CACGUAGGGUGCGAGCGUUGUCCGGAAUUAUUGGGCGUAAAGAGCUCGUAGGCGGUUCCGUAAGUCGAGUGUGAAAAAUCUGGGCUCAACCCAGUGGAGCACUCGAUACUGCGGUGACUGGAGUACGGUAGAGGAGUGUGGAAUUCCUGGUGUAGCGGUGAAAUGCGCAGAUAUCAGGAGGAACACCGGUGGCGAAGGCGGGUCUCUGGGCCGGUACUGACGCUGAGGAGCGAAAGCGUGGGUAGCAAACAGG
rnacentral:rRNA from 1 species